AUUGAACGCUGGCGGCAUGCUUUACACAUGCAAGUCGAACGGCAGCGCGGGCUUCGGCCUGGCGGCGAGUGGCGAACGGGUGAGUAAUGCAUCGGAACGUACCCAGUAGUGGGGGAUAGCCCGGCGAAAGCCGGAUUAAUACCGCAUACGACCUGAGGGUGAAAGCGGGGGACCGAAAGGCCUCGCGCUAUUGUAGCGGCCGAUGUCGGAUUAGCUAGUUGGUGGGGUAAAGGCUUACCAAGGCGACGAUCCGUAGCUGGUCUGAGAGGACGACCAGCCACACUGGGACUGAGACACGGCCCAGACUCCUACGGGAGGCAGCAGUGGGGAAUUUUGGACAAUGGGGGCAACCCUGAUCCAGCCAUGCCGCGUGCGGGAAGAAGGCCUUCGGGUUGUAAACCGCUUUUGUUCGGGAAGAAAUCCUCUGGGCUAAUACCCCGGGGGGAUGACGGUACCGGAAGAAUAAGCACCGGCUAACUACGUG
rnacentral:rRNA from 1 species